UAACCUGGUUGAUCCUGCCAGUUAUUCAUAUGCUUCGUUCAAGGGCUUAGCCAUGCAUGUCUCAGAGCAAAUGGCUCAAAAAUGGGUCUGUGAAUGGCUCCUUACAUCAGCAGUCAUCCAAGUGAUAAAGUGUGGCUAGCGCACAUGCCAAGUGCUCAUUGGACAUCCUCCAAAACGUGGUUGCUAAUACACG
rnacentral:rRNA from 1 species